GUGCCAGCCGCCGCGGUAAUACGUAGGGAGCAAGCGUUGUCCGGAUUUAUUGGGCGUAAAGAGCUCGUAGGCGGUUCGGUAAGUCGGGUGUGAAAACUCUGGGCUCAACCCGGAGAGGCCACUCGAUACUGCCGUGACUUGAGUCUGGUAGGGGAGCACGGAGUUCCUGGUGUAGCGGUGAAAUGCACAGAUAUCAGGAGGAACACCGGUGGCGAAGGCGGUGCUCUAGGCCAGUACUGACGCUGAGGAGCGAAAGCGUGGGGAGCGAACAGGAUUAGAUACCCUGGUAGUCCACGCCGUAAACGUUGGGCACUAGGUGUGGGGGGACGUCAACUCCCUCCGUGCCGUAGCUAACGCAUUAAGUGCCCCGCCUGGGGAGUACGGCCGCAAGGCUAAAACUCAAAGGAAUUGACGGGGCCCGCACAAGCGGCGGAGCAUGUUGCUUAAUUCGAUGCAACGCGAAGAACCUUACCUGGAUUUGACAUGCAGGGAAAAGCCACAGAGAUGUGGUGUCCUACGGGGCCUUGCACAGGUGGUGCAUGGCUGUCGUCAGCUCGUGUCGUGAGAUGUUGGGUUAAGUCCCGCAACGAGCGCAACCCUUAUCCUGUGUUGCCAGCGGGUAAAGCCGGGGACUCGCAGGAGACUGCCGGGGUCAACUCGGAGGAAGGUGGGGAUGACGUCAAGUCUUCAUGCCCCUUACGUCCAGGGCUGCAAACAUGCUACAAUGGCCGGUACAAAGGGCUGCUAUCCCGCGAGGGUGAGCGAAUCCCAAAAAGCCGGUCUCAGUUCGGAUUGGAGUCUGCAACUCGACUCCAUGAAGUCGGAGUCGCUAGUAAUCCCGGAUCAGCAACGCCGGGGUGAAUACGUUCCCGGGCCUUGCACUCACCGCCCGUC
rnacentral:rRNA from 1 species